rnacentral:rRNA from 1 species
GGAUUCCCUUAGUAACGGCGAGUGAAGAGGGAGAAGCCCAAAUUUGUAAUCUGGCCUUUAUUUAUAUUUAUUAUUUAAAAAGGUCUGAGUUGUAAUUUUAAGAACUGUUAUUAGUGCUGGACCAUUUAUAAGUCUGUUGAAAAGCAGCAUCAUUGAAGGUGAUAAUCCUGUUCAUGAUAUGGACUACCAGGGCAUUUAUGAUACAGUUUCUAAGAGUCAAGUUGUUUGAGAAUGCAGCUUAAAGUGGGUGGUAAAUUCCAUCUAAGGCUAAAUACAGAUGAGAGACCGAUAGCAAACAAGUACCGUGAGGGAAAGAUGAAAAGAACUCUGGAAAGAGAGUUAACAGUACGUGAAAUUGUUAAAAGGUUAAACAGUUGAAGUUAGACUUGUUAUUAUUAGAUCAACCUUACCCCCCCUUUUUUUUCCUUAAAAGGGUGUAUUCUAAUCAUUAACAGACCAACAUCAAUUUUUGAGUAUUGGAGAAGGGUUUUAAGGGAAAUGUAGCAGUCUCUGGCUGUGUUAUAAUCCCUGGACUUUGAUACAAUGCUUAAGAUUGAGGAUUGCAGUAAGCCUUUUUUUUUCUCUGGGUUAAAAAAAGGUGGGACAACUUUUCUUGUCCUUCUUACUGAGGAUGUUGGUGUAAUAACUUUAAUUGACCCGUCUUGAAACACGGACCAAGGAGUCUAACAUGCUUGCAAGUAUUUGGGUGAUUGAAACCCUAAUGCGUAAUGAAAGUAAAUGUAAAUGGGAUCUUUUUGUAUUUGAAGGAAGUGCACCAUUGACCAGUCCAGAUUAUUUAUAUGAUGGUACUGAGUAAGAGCAAGUAUGUUGGGACCCGAAAGAUGGUGAACUAUGCCUGAAUAGGGUGAAGCCAGAGGAAACUCUGGUGGAAGCUCGUAAUGAUUCUGACGUGCAAAUCGAUCAUUGAAUUUGGGUAUAGGGGCGAAAGACUAAUCGAACCAUCUAGUAGCUG